rnacentral:lncRNA from 1 species
GGUUCUGGACACCAAAGCGCAAGUGAACUUCUUUGGUUGACAGUACUCUGCAUAUUGUGGCACAUCAACAUGUCAGGAGGGUAAAGAGUCCUGAGGACAAGGAUGCUUCAUGUUUGGGACCCUCCCAGACCUUGACCUUUCACUGGUCUCUCCCCUGGGGAUGCAUUACCUUUUUUUCUAACAUGAAAAAUUCUGAGUUCAAAAUUAUGUUCAAUGGGAACUGAAAGUAGACUACAAAGAGGAUGCCUCCAGUCUCCUUUUAUACCUUCCCAAAAGAUGAUGUAAUACUUUGAACAGCCAAGAAGAGAACUGAAGGGUGGUACACUAGCUGUUGAGAAGAAAACUGAUGUGAAGAGGACAAGAACAAAAGCACGGAGACUAAUAAAUUAUUGCAAUACUCUGGAUCCCAGUUUUGUUCAGAGAGCGAAUGCCCAGGAAAAAUAUGCCCAGAAGCUCUCACAGCUAAAAGCCAUCAUGUGACUCGUACUGACUGAUGAGAUGGGAAUGGAAGUCUACCUGGAGGAUAAGCUGUAUGUUUUCACGUUAAAAAGAAAGACUUGGUGGGGCCUGCCUGUGACCAAGUGGUUAAAGUUCCCCAUGCUCUGCUUCAGCACCCUGGGUUCUCUGGUUCGGAUCCUGGGUGCAGACCUACUCCACUCAUCAGCCAUGCUGUGGAGGCGUCCUGCAUACAAAAAAUGGAGGAAGAUUGGCACAGAUGUUAGCUCAGGGCUAAUCUUCCUAAAGCAAAGUAAAAGGAGGAUUGGCAAUGGAUCUUGGCUCAGGGUGAAUCUUCCUCACCAAAAAAGAAAAAAGAAAAGAAACAAGACUUGGCUGGCUGCCCUUUCCCUUUUCUCCUUCUAUGGAGGAUGGAUGCCAUGCUAAUGGUGGUGGUGCAGAGGGUUAGAAAGCUGGAUGGUUGAUGAGUUUCUUGGGCACCUGCCCCAGCACUGCACUCUCUACCUCCAGAUUUUGAUUAAUG